AUAGCCCCAGGAGAUACCUUGGUGUCAGCAUGGGGCAGGCAACUCUGCAGCAGCGGUGGGAACAUGGAGACAAAUGUGGACUCUUGACAGGGUCUCAUUAAGACGCUGUUGCCUAGCCUGAACUCAAACUCGCGGUCCUUUGCACAGAGCUAGGAUUACAGGACCUCAGCAGCACCACGGACUGUCAGACCUUCUGCCUGAGCACCGUGGCCUGGUGUGGUUCCUUCUGUGUGUCAUCGCUAGUGUUGGAGGAUGCCUUGGGUCUCCAGGGCUGGACACAAAUAUAUUUGUCAGGGAAGAGGGAAGCAGAGGGAUAAUGUGGGUGUUGGGGAGUUGGUAGGAAACUGGGGCAGAAGGUCUUUCCACACCUGAAAAUGACCCCUGAUUUGACCCCUGGAUGUGACCUCCGGCCGUGGGCCAAGCCCCGUCUCCCCCACAACCAGUCCUGGGCCCCUCCCGAAGUCCCGCUCCGGGGUGUAUAUCCGGCUCCACCACGUGGGCUGAGUGGGCUUGGCUGCACCCCUUUCUUCUCUGAGCCUCAGUUUCCUCAUCUGCAAUACUGUGAUGGCCUUUCCUGCCUCACUGGGUGGGUGGGUGUAAGGUUUCAAAGAAACUGUACAUGUCAAGUUUCAAAAACCAUUGCUGUCACCAAACUAACACAUCUGAGUCUCCUCCCCAAUGCAUCCCUUCUGCCUGUACCCUACCAAAGCACCAGCUCUUUGGAAAGCAUCUGCCUUUGUGGCAGUGAGUUCCCCAUCAUUGGGAGUAUUCAAUAAAAAGCUAAA